GUGCUCUGUAUGGCAGCAUGUAUAUUAAAAACUGAAUGAUACAGAGAUUUCCAUGGCUGUUGCCCAAAGAUGACACACAAAUUCAUGAAACAUUUCAUGUUUAA
ensembl:snRNA U6 U6 spliceosomal RNA